rnacentral:lncRNA from 1 species
UCAUCAGACCUUCUUCUGCUUGAACCCCUGAACACUAGAGAAGAAAACGACUACAGCUGUCCAACCCAGAACUCCCCACCGCCGCUUCUUCUUCUCACCUUCAAACCCACCGGAAAAUAACCCUCAGUCGUCGCUCGUCUUCUUCACCCUCACAAAAUCGACCAGCAACUCCAUCCAAACCCACAUGCCACCGUAAUUCGACCUUGAAGAAGCAACCAUCACACUUAUUUUGAAAAGAUCUCAUCUCUCUUAUCCUCCAUCUCUAGUAAAUCUCUACCACAAGACAGCUAUGGCUUCCAUCCUUUGAAAUGGUCGAAAAUGGAUAGUGAGAAAUAACUCUAAAAUAGACGUAAACCACUAUUACCCAGAGCCCAAAAAUCAGUCAUGCCCUACUAUUAACACCAAGAAGCCAAGCUCAUUUUUACUGCUAGUUCGAGUCAAGAAUUCAGUGAGCUCAAAGCUUCAGAUCUCCAAAUAUGAACCGAGUUUCAGUUUGUACCCAAAGAGAAGUCCGUCUGAGGUCGUUGUUCAAUUUUUUGUUGAGGUUUUAUAUAGUCGCUCCUAUCCUAAUUUUUGGGUCGAGUUUUUUUUUGAAUGUAUUAUUUUCUCCAUUUGACCUUUUGCUAG